rnacentral:rRNA from 1 species
UACGUAGGGGGCAAGCGUUAUCCGGAUUUACUGGGUGUAAAGGGAGCGUAGACGGCGAUGCAAGUCUGGAGUGAAAGCCCGGGGCUCAACCCCGGGACUGCUUUGGAAACUGCAUAGCUGGAGUGCUGGAGAGGUAAGCGGAAUUCCUGGUGUAGCGGUGAAAUGCGUAGAUAUCAGGAGGAACACCGGCGGCGAAGGCGGCUUACUGGACUGUAACUGACGUUGAGGCUCGAAGGCGUGGGGAGCAAACAGG